GACGUAGGGCGCGAGCGUUGUCCGGAUUUAUUGGGCGUAAAGAGCUCGUAGGCGGCUUGUCGCGUCGAAUGUGAAAUCUCAGGGCUCAACUCUGACAUUGCAUUCGAUACGGGCAGGCUAGAGUUCGGUAGGGGAGACUGGAAUUCCUGGUGUAGCGGUGAAAUGCGCAGAUAUCUGGAGGAACACCGGUGGCGAAGGCGGCAUCCUGGACCGGUAUUGACGCUGAGGCGCGAAAGCUAGGGGAGCAAACGGG
rnacentral:rRNA from 1 species